rnacentral:rRNA from 1 species
GGUGAGUAAUGCCUGGGAAAUUGCCCUGAUGUGGGGGAUAACCAUUGGAAACGAUGGCUAAUACCGCAUAAUAGCUUCGGCUCAAAGAGGGGGACCUUCGGGCCUCUCGCGUCAGGAUAUGCCCAGGUGGGAUUAGCUAGUUGGUGAGGUAAUGGCUCACCAAGGCGACGAUCCCUAGCUGGUCUGAGAGGAUGAUCAGCCACACUGGAACUGAGACACGGUCCAGACUCCUACGGGAGGCAGCAGUGGGGAAUAUUGCACAAUGGGCGCAAGCCUGAUGCAGCCAUGCCGCGUGUGUGAAGAAGGCCUUCGGGUUGUAAAGCACUUUCAGUCGUGAGGAAGGUGGUGUUGUUAAUAGCAGCAUCAUUUGACGUUAGCGACAGAAGAAGCACCGGCUAACUCCGUGCCAGCAGCCGCGGUAAUACGGAGGGUGCGAGCGUUAAUCGGAAUUACUGGGCGUAAAGCGCAUGCAGGUGGUUUGUUAAGUCAGAUGUGAAAGCCCGGGGCUCAACCUCGGAAUAGCAUUUGAAACUGGCAAGCUAGAGUACUGUAGAGGGGGGUAGAAUUUCAGGUGUAGCGGUGAAAAUGCGUAGAGAUCUGAAGGAAUACCGGUGGCGAAGGCGGGCCCCCUGGACAGAUACUGACACUCAGAUGCGAAAGCGUGGGGGAGCAAACAGGAUUAGAUACCCUGGUAGUCCACGCCGUAAACGAUGUCUACUUGGAGG